GCUGGGCAUUGGUGGUGCAUGCCUGUAGUCCCAGCUACUUUGGAGGCUGAGGUGGGAGGAUCACUUGAGCCCAAGAGGUCAAGACUGCAGUGAGCCAUGAUCAUGCCACUGCACUUCGGCCUGGGCAACAGAGUGAGACCCUCUCUCAA
ensembl:misc_RNA Metazoa_SRP Metazoan signal recognition particle RNA